AAGGGCACCACAAGAACGCGUGGAGCAUGUGGCUUAAUUUGACUCAACGCGAGAAAUCUUACCGGGUCCGGACACACUGAGGAUUGACAGGUGUUAAUAUGAUAACUUUAGGUUAGCGUAAAAAAUAUGCUAGUCCUUUCAUGAUUAUGUGAUAGGUGGUGCAUGGCCGUUCUUAGUUCGUGGAGUGAUCUGUCUGCUUAAUUGCGUUUCGCAUAGGACUUAUCACAAGUGGUCGACAAUAAUGAACUUGUUGUCUGAGCCACAUUAGGUCUUGAAAGCAACGAACGUGACCGUUACCUCUUGUUGUUUCGAAUUUUUAACGAAGCGCAAAGUAACAAUACUAGAGGGACCGCUGAGACCUUUUUAAACCAGAGGAAGGUGGCGGCAAUAACAGGUCUGUGAUGCCCUUAGAUGUUCCGGGCUGCACACGUGCUACAAUGAUUACUGCAGUGAGCACGGUAAAUAAGCGGUACUGCCUCGAGAGUUGGCAGGUAACCAAUUGUAAGUAGUGAAUUAAUGAAAUCGAGCACUCAACAUACCGCUUGCAUGAAUUACCUUUAAUAAGUGUAUUCUUCUUGCGGUAUGUGCUCUUUGUUAAUUCGUGGUGGGGACAGACCAUUGAAAAUUGUUGGUCUCGGUCUUAACUAGGAAUGCCUUGUACGGGUCUCGGUUCAACAAACCACCCGGAAUACGUCCCUGCCCUUUGUACACACCGCCCGUC
rnacentral:rRNA from 1 species